CGCGAAUCGCGACGAGGGCUGGGAGCCCGGGACCGGGAUCGUCUACGCGGGGGUUUAUCUGAGGAAAGCUUUACCUCAGCGACCUGAUUGCACGCGCGCGCGCGCGUUCAUGGACAGGCUCUGCAUCUGGGAUCUCUCUGAGGAGGGCACUCGGGGAAGGAGGGAAAUGUUCCAACGCAGUUGUACAGAGAAAGGUGAAAAUAAUGAAGCCGGCCACCAGCAUGUACUUAAAAUAAACAGAUGUCUCAUGCUUUUUCAUCAGUCAGAAGGAUUAAAAGUUGACAAGGAUGGAUCGGUACAGACUGUUACACAGGCAUGU